UACGUAGGUGACAAGCGUUAUCCGGAAUUAUUGGGCGUAAAGCGCCCGCAGGCGGCUCGUUCAAGUCUGACGUGAAAUCGCUCGGCUUAACUGGGCGGGGUCGUUGGAAACUGAAUAGCUUGAGGCAAGGAGAGGGGCGUGGAAUUCCCGGUGUAGUGGUGGAAUGCGUAGAUAUCGGGAGGAACACCGAUGGCGAAGGCAGGUCUCUGGGCCACUACGUGACGCUGAGAAGCGAAAGCAUGGGGAGCGAACGAGGA
rnacentral:rRNA from 1 species